rnacentral:rRNA from 1 species
GACGAACCGUCCAAACGUUAUUCGGAAUCACUGGGCUUAAAGGGUGCGUAGGCGGCCCGGAAAGUUGUGUGUGAAAGCCCUCGGCUCAACCGAGGAAUAGCGCGCAAAACUACCGGGCUCGAGGGAGACAGAGGUAAGCGGAACUUAGGGUGGAGCGGUGAAAUGCGUUGAUAUCCUAAGGAACACCAGGAGCGAAAGCGGCUUACUGGGUCUCUUCUGACGCUGAGGCACGAAAGCUAGGGAGCGAACGGG